rfam:Gossypium hirsutum cultivar TM-1 chromosome 19, whole genome shotgun sequence
UGUUAAAACUUUCAUCUAUUUGUACUAUUAAAAAUUGAUAUGACUAUCGAAAUAAUUAGACAAUAAGAUGUGAUGUGCCAUGUAUAUUUCAUGCUGAUAUACAAAGACCAAUAUUUAACAAUAAAAAUGAAUGAAAAUUUUAACA